rnacentral:lncRNA from 1 species
GUUGCUGCUCAGCUCUCUGAGAGCUGCUUGCAGUUGCUCUGGUGUGUCCUCCUUCAGAGGGGGAGGUUACACAGCUCAGCAGCAGAAAAUGGAGUGCCUGUGCAUUUUCUUGCCUUGUGGGUCAUAUUCUCAGUUGCUGAAUCCACGGUUAUUGUCAAAAAGGCAGUCAGAAACUCCCUGGAGGUUUUUCCAAAGUGAGUAAGGUGACCUCCUAAUCUGGGAGCCAUGAACUUUCUCUAACACUCACAGAGUACGCUGUGACAAAUGAAAAGGUGUAUCUUGAUUUUUAUGAAUGCUUAGAGUAGUAAACAUAAGUAGAGCUAUUGGAACAUUUUAUUUGCAAUAUUAGAAGCUCUGUAAGUUUUAAAAAAAUAUAUUUCUAUAGAAAUUUGACAAUAUUCCACUGAAAUGUUAAAAACGCCCAAUGGGAAAUCUUUCUCAUUUUUACUAGUAGUCUGAAGCAUUCUGCUUCCAAAUAAUGUUGCAUAUUUUUUGAGAGCUGUCUUUAAUAAUACU